GGGGCUAAUACCUGAAACUAAAUACUAGAGUAACUAAAUAUUACAGAUAUGAAAUACUAUGUGUCCUAAAUACUACAGCCACUUAAUUCUACAGCCACGAAUACUGUAGCAACUGAACCUACAUCUCAGAUGUAAAAUACUGGUUGUUAUGACUCCAGUACAGUGGGCUGAAGGAAAAUCAGUAACUUUGUUAAAAGAAUAACAGCCUUGGCCGGGCGUGGUGGCUCAUGCCUCUAAGGGAGCCUGGGAGGCUGAGGCGGGCGGAUCACCUGAGGUCGGGAGUUUGAGACCAGUUUGGCCAACAUGGUGAAACCCUGUCUCUACUAAAAAUACAAAAAUUAGCCCAGCGUGGUGGUGCAUGCCUGUAAUCCCAGCUAUUCAGGAGGCUGAGGCAAGAGGAUCACCUGAACCUGGGAAGCGGAGGUUGCAGAGAGCCGAGAACACGCCACUGCACUCCAGCCUGGGUGACAGAGCCAGACUCCAUCUCAAAAAAAACACAAAACAGCUUUGGUCCCUGAAUUCACCUGUCGGCCCCGCUGUCAGCUGGGGCUGGAGGGAGGAGGAAAGGAGAAAUGUAUGAUGAAUUCAAUUCAAUUCCAUGAAGGCCAGAAGCCUCCCUCUCCUUCCUAGGGCCUCCACUGCGUGAGAGCCUCCAUCUGGGCCUGGCAGCCAUCUCACAGUCCCCCAGUCCCCGCCCAGUCUAGCUUGGGAAGGGGUGUAAAACUCCUUUCCAAUGUGGCUGUUUCUUUGACACACAAAUCUGAUGGCAAUGAACUCCCAGAAAGGGCCCCCCAGUCCAGCAAGUGUGGUAGAUGCUGGGGGAGGAAAGGAGAAAGGUUUCCAGAAAGCGUGAUUGCUGAGCUGAGAAUCAGCUGGAAGGAGGAGAGAGAAGGUGGCAUUCUGGAGAGAAGCACAAAAAGGAGAAAUCGCAUAUGAGUGGCAAAACCCAGCAGAGCUCUCUGUUGCUGAAGCCUGAAGUUUUAAGUUAGAAGAGCAGGGAAAUUUGGUCAAGCAAGCGUGGACCCAAUGGGCAGAGUUCUUAGUGCAUCAGGCUAAAGUUGAGCCUUUAUUCCACAGUUGAUGGGCAGCCACCAUGAGGCUUUAGGUCAGGGAGAGGGCAACAUGCCUGUUAGGGAGGUGACUCUGGCCAAGGCUGGAGUUUGAGAUGGCUGGUGUGGAAACCAUGGCACCUGUCCAGGGCAAGAAGAUUGAGAAUCUGGGCAAAUGUGCUGGCAACAGGCAGGUCGAGGUGGGGCGGUCUCAGGAAUUAUUUAGGAGUAACAUUUUACACCCUCCCCAAGAAUCGGCAGAGCUUGGCCAGUGACAUGGCAUAGAGGUGAGAGCGGAGAAGUCUCCUACAACCGAAGUGUCUAGUGUGGAUGAUUGUGGAUCAUGGUGCCACAAACUGGGACAGAUGAUGUAGGAAAAAGAGUGAGCCAGAAAGUGUUUCAUUUCCCUGUAUUCCUGCAUUAAAAACCUCCCUAAAAUGUGGCCUUAAAUAACAAUUCAUUAUUUCUCAUGAUUGUGUGGGCCAAGAAAUGGUCAGGGCUCAGCAGGGCAGUUUUGCUCCACACAACUUUACCUGGGGCCAUUCUCUUGACUGUGCCCAGCCAAUGGCUGGUCUGGAAGGUCCAUGUGUCCCUCACAUGCUCAGCACCUUGGUGCUCCUCCACAUGGCCCCUCUCUCUCCAAGUGGCUAGCUUGGGCUUCCUCACAGCAUGGUGGUCUUAGGAUAGCUGAACUUCUUCAAUGGGGUGGCCUCCCAGAGGGUGUAUUCUAAGAAUCAAAGGCAGAUGCUCUAUAUCUUCCAAGUCCCAAUCUCAGAAAUGACACAAAGUCACUCUGCCACGUUCUAUUGGGUACAAGAAGUCACUGAUCCAGUCCAUAUUUAAGAAAAGGAGAAACAGCCUCCAACUCUGAAUGGAAGGAGUAGCAAAGAACGUGUGGCCAUUUUAACCCACCACAGUGGGUGCAGUGAAUGCUGUGAGGUGCCACCCAGGUGCCCCUUCAGAAUGGAGGCAUUUGGUUCCCUGAGGGCGUAUUGGCUGCUCAUACCUGGGUCCCUCUCCAGGAACUGUCCUCCCCUAAAGGCACAUCCCCUCUCCAAGGAGAGUCGCCAUCCAGUGACUGGUGGGUGCGGGCAUACCAGAGCCCAGCUCCCAGAGUCUCUCUGGAGCAAUUCUGAAGGAUCAUCUCAGCUCUAGAGCUGUGGGACCAGCUGAUGGCUCCGUGUGUCGAAGUUCAAGUUCUCCCUCUGCCUGGUCUGCUUUCCUCACUCCCUUCGGAUGCUUCUCCCGAGUCCUCCCCAGUCAUCUCCUGCACUUAAAUGCACCUCACAGCAUUUGCCAAGAACCUGCCCAAGGUUGAGGAACCUGACCUCCACCAAGAGGCUGAGCUCUGACUGGGAGUGUAGUGGUUGGACAGCCUCUGCAACAGUCAGAGCCUCCACAGUGGGCAGGGUUUGGGAGGCUGGAGGCUGGAGUCUGAGGGAGACAUCUGGGCCUGUGAUGGAGUCAGCAGAGUAAGGGGAUCGGGAGGCUGAGGUGAAAACCACGUGAACAUUUACUCAAACAAUCUGCUAAUGGUUUUUUUUUUGUUUGGUUGGUUUUUUUGUUUGUUUGUUUUUUGAGACAGAGUCUCACUUUGUUGCCCAGGCUGGAGUGCAGUGGUGUCAUCUCGGCUCACUGCAGCCUCCGCCUCCUGGGUUCAAGCAAUUCUCCUGCCUCAGCCUUCCAAGUAGCUGGGGUUACAGGUUCCCAC
rnacentral:lncRNA from 10 species